rnacentral:lncRNA from 1 species
UAGACACAAUCCUUAAAAUUCGCAAAAACUUAACACAAGAUCCCUCGUUAAUUUCUCUUUUGGUUUUGCCCUUUCUUUUUCUUUUUCUUUCAUCUGUUAUACAUAUGAUUUAGACUUGAGGAUUUGUCUUCCAAAACAAACUGUCACCGAUAUGACCAUUUAUUUCAAUUCAAAAAAAUUGGGAGCUUCAUUCACGUAUAUAAACCUUGAGCAAAGCAUAUUUUUUCAAUCACCAAUUAAUAGUUACAUACGUUUUGGAAGAUAAAAGAAACAAACUACAUUAUUCUUGAGGGAUUCAAAGGUAAAACUUUGGAAAAUAGAGGAGUAAUAGAGCUCAGCAGCAAGCACCACCAAUAUAACUCAAAAAUGGCCUUGAAAUCACAUAAUACAACACAACCAAUUCUGAACUCUCAAGAAAGAACUCAUUUGUUUUUUUUCAGGGAUAACCAGCAACAAAACCAAGCAGAAUAUCCGACAUGGGCAAUCUGUGCAAGAAGCUGGGAGUUAAUCAAAAACCAUAACGAAAGACAGUACUUUAAACCCUAUUUAGACAGUAUUCAAAGCAACCAGUAGUUUACUCACAUGAUUUAAUCUUCAUUCUACUAUGUACAGGGACUGAUAAUCUGGUUCAGGCCUUCUUAAAAAGCAAUAAAACCAACAGGAAUGCACAUAUACAUUAGGAAGCUAAUCUCAGUAUAUUAUGGACUUGGUGACAUGCUUACUAUAAGAUUCUCACAAUGAUUCAGAUUCAUACCAAACCUUUAAAUCAACCAAGAUAUUCAGUCAAACAUUGUAUAGUGUUCUUUCAACCAAGCUAACAAACAUCAGUGAGCUUCACUAGGCCUAAUAGUGACAAUGACAGAUUUCCAUUUUUUCAGAUCCUAUAUAACUGCAUUAUUAAAUCUGACAUACUGUAUAAAAUAAUCUCAAGUGAGGGAAAUAGUAACAUGGGCAAUGGUAUUCCCUGAUUGAGAGGAUAGAAAGUUCAUGAGCACAGAUAUGGAAAGCCAAGAAAAUUCAACCAAACUUAUGCACAAGGAGACUUCUACCAUAUUUCAUGGUUAGCUCAACUUUACAUAACUGAACCUCAAACUUGAAUUUUAAAUCCAAAAAAAGGCAAUCAACAGACUCGAACCAAGGUUUCAGCUACAGAAUAGACAUAACUCGACAGACUUUACCAAAAAUCUCAGCUAGUCACAAAUUGAUAAGAAACUAAAUUCGACCUCACUGAUAAAGCUCAAAUAACAGCAAAAAUGGAAUACUAACCUGAAGUCACAAACUUCUAUUAAUAAUUACAGCCUUAAUAAUACGCCUUUCGUCUUUGAAUACUAGCAAGGUUCAGCAGAAACUCAACAGAAAAAUAACAGUAAACCCGAGCUUGAACUUCAAUUCAGUUUUUCAUCUCUUUGGAACUCUAAGACGGACUAAAAAAUUUAAAAAAAUGUGUAUCCUUCUCUUAAACUUUGAAAGAACUCUUCAAAAAAGGAAAAUGGAAUCAGAAAACUAGGAGUUUUAGAAACCUUUCAACUUUUCUCUCCAAAUUUUUUUACUAGAGUCCCCAUCACAAAAUCGGAUACGGCUUCUUUUAGAGAUGAAUCCUUUAUGAAUGUGGGGCUCGAAUUGAGUGAAAUCAAUCCAACGCCUCACACUCAUCCAGCAUAUCAUCUCCAUAACCUUCCAAACGUGAGAUAAAACUCAAACUUGAGUGAGAGGGGAUGGGAAUCUUGGGGUCAGAAACCAUUAGCAACGGCAAGAUGAGAGAAAAAGGGACGCGUGGGCUAGGGAUUUGGGAUUCAUUCGCCCGAAUUUGGACUGAAUUGGGGCUUGGUUCGAGUGAGGACGAUGAUGGAACAGUGUUUGUUUGGGAUUUAGG